rnacentral:rRNA from 1 species
UACGUAGGGGGCAAGCGUUAUCCGGAUUUACUGGGUGUAAAGGGAGCGCAGGCGGUAUGGCAAGUCAGAUGUGAAAACCCAGGGCUCAACCCUGGGACUGCAUUUGAAACUGCCAUACUGGAGUGCCGGAGAGGUAAGUGGAAUUCCUAGUGUAGCGGUGAAAUGCGUAGAGAUUAGGAAGAACACCAGUGGCGAAGGCGACUUACUGGACUGUAACUGACGCUGAGGCAUGAGAGCAUGGGGAGCAAACAGG